ensembl:snoRNA SNORA73 Small nucleolar RNA SNORA73 family
CAAAUAUGGGAAGACCCCGGGAGAUCACUCUCCCUGGGCUAUGUUGUAGUGGUGUAGAGAAGCAUAGGGCCCUGCCCCGUGAUGUACAGUCCCGUUCCACGACGUUGGAGAUGAAGCUGGGCCUCGAGUCUGCGCCUGCAUAUUCCUACGGCUUCUCAGAGUCCUCUGGACCGUGACUGAGGAGACAAACCAUGCAGGAAACAGUC